rnacentral:sRNA from 1 species
UGCAAAGUACCAGCCAGCCUUAGCAUCA